UACGAAGGGGGGCUAGCGUUGCUCGGAAUCACUGGGCGUAAAGCGCACGUAGGCGGCUUUCUAAGUCAGGGGUGAAAUCCUGGAGCUCAACUCCAGAACUGCCUUUGAUACUGGAGAGCUCGAGUCCGGAAGAGGUGAGUGGAACUGCGAGUGUAGAGGUGAAAUUCGUAGAUAUUCGCAAAGAACACCAGUGGCGAAGGCGGCUCACUGGUCCGGUACUGACGCUGAGGUGCGAAAAGCGUGGGGAGCAAACAGGG
rnacentral:rRNA from 1 species